ensembl:lncRNA
CAUUGACCCAGUGGUCCGAGUGGAGGUAUUUUUUUGUCCUUGCAGAGAUGUACAAGAAAGAUGAGAAAGUAUGUAGAUCUCACAGCUACAUCCUGAUACAUAUAUUUUUAAUACUGUGGAUGUGAAUAAAUUCUUCUGAGGCUAUCAGUGACCAAUAUUUUAGCACUGGCAACUGAGCUCUGCAGUUAAAUCACAUAAAGUUAUACUCAAUCAGUACAGAUCAAAAUAUUUGGUUAAUUAUCUACCUAAGUUCACUUUAAACCCUUUCAGAUAAAAACCAAUUCAUUCUUUUGAGAAAGCACAGGAAUGUGAAAAGAUGGUUAUCAAGGGCUUUCCUGUUACAGGCUGCUUGCCUGUUGCAGAGGGGUGGGAUGAGAAGAACAGAUGUGGACCCAGAGUGGCUCACUGCUGCUUCCUGUGACUCCAUUUUCCAUGACUCUUCAGCCUUUUCAAGGGCCAUGAGGUUAAGCCGACUGUAGCUUUGACCUUCUUUGUCAGGUUGUCAGAACAAGAACCUUCAUUAUAAAGAAUUGCACUUAUGGGAUAGAGGGCCAAAAAUCCUGGCUUCCCAACCACAGAGAUCACUUGAAUGGCAUCCAUUUCUCAACUGCACUGAAGUCAUAGCCAGUUAUUGAAAUCAAACUUCAUGAAGACCAUGACCUUUCACUCUUGUCAGAGGGAUCGAACUCGGGAUCUUGCGCUUGCGAGGCACACGGCAGAACCACUGAGCUAAAUCCCUGGCCCUGGCUUUAUCUUUUUCUCUAGAGAAACAUGUAUUUGGAAUGUGGAUGUGACUCACAGUAGCUGUGCCUGGAGAAAGCAAAAAUUCAUAUGUGCAUUCACUCACUUCACAGACCUACAGCAAGGUGUGUACAGGAGCUCCAAAGUAGCUAUAGAAGUAGCCUGAUUCAGUACAAUUGCAUAUGAAAAACCAGAUUUGGAAGUUUUGGAGGAGGUCAAAAGUAUGGAUGAUGAAUAUGAUGAUGACUUUGAUGUUGGUCAUAUGAACCAAAGUUUCUAUGACAAUGAAAUGGAGGAAAAUCAACCAAUACAGACACAGGGAAUGCAGAUAUCCUUGAUUCAGAUGAUGAAGAGAGCAGCAAUAACACAAAUUGACCAGCAUAGAAAUUGAAUGCAGGAACAAAACAGACAUUCCAAAUGAAAUGUUGCAAUUUCAAAACAGAGAAUCAAUCAUUGGAUUUCAGAAAGACAUAACACUGGCCUUGUAUAUGGCAAAGAAAACAAACUGGUUCUGCUCAUGUCAAUAUUGCACCAUGAUGGAAAUAUUUAUAGGAAAACCUUGACAAAAUGAAAGCCUGAGAUGUGAACUUUCUACAACAAAACCAAAAGUGGAGUAGAUGUUGUUGAUGACUUAUUUGGCAACUAUAAUGUCACUUGAAACACAAAGCAUUGGCCAAUGGUGGUGUUUUACUUGAUCUUAAAUGUGUGUGGCAUAAAUAACUUGAUACUUUAUAAAGAAAAUAACAAGUGCAAAAUACCACAGAGAAAUUUUCUUAGAGGAUUGGGACUGGAAUUCAGAAGAGAUCAUUUACAGCAGAGGAAAAACAAAAUAUUUCUGCCCAAGGAGACUAUGCAAAAAAAUUUGUGGAGCACAUUCGUUAGCUGACAGGUAAAUGGGCAGGUGCAGCAUCACAAAGACCUACUAUGACAAUAUGAAAACCAAAAGGAUAUCAACUGUGCCCUACAAAAACGGACAGGAAAACAAAACAUACAUGCUACCUGUAAGCGAUACUUGUGUAUAGCACACAGAGUUUUCAUGUGUGAAGAUUGCCUUGGGUGUAACAUUUGAAGCAAAGAUUAUUUCUGUGGUAGACUUUUAUUUGUAUUUACAUUGUAUUUCACAUAGGUUUUUAUUUUUAGUGUUAUCUUUUAAGUUUUGUAAGCAAGUAAACAGCUAAUGUGAAAUGUUGAUGUCUAGUCUAAACACUCAUGAUAUAUUUGAUGUUUUAUUUUAUUUUCUUGCUAAGUGCAUGUUGUACAAUAUAGUAAGAAGCUCCUAACAAAAGAGGAAGACAAGAGCAGCGACAAGAAU